GCUUUGCUGGUUCUAUUUUUGAGGGAAAAAAGGAAGGGAAAGAUGAGCGGGAUGUAGGCACCCACUAUAUAUGAUAGUAGACCAUUUGUAUCCCAUACAAAUCACAUAUAGUGGUAUAGGUUUCACUAAGAUUUUAUGGGCACAACAACGCCAUUUUGGAGUAGCUCAAUUCCAUGUCACAAUAUGUUUGAAAAAACUGGCAACUGAUGGAACAUAAAGCCUUCUAUGGGAAAGAGUUCACUCCUGUAAGGAUCAUAAAAGAUGAUAGUAAUGUCAUUAUUUACACUUUCUACCAGUCUCUCAACUAGGAUGACAAAUGGACAAAAAAUGGAGGUAGUCUUAUGAUGAUAGCAACAGACACAGCCGAAGAACUCAAUUUGAAUGUAACCAUUGAUUCGGCUCAACAAAAACGAAUAGAUGACAUGUAAUGCAGACACAUUGCACAGAGCACAAAAAGCAUUAUUCAAACGACAAUCAAUUAACAUGUAAUUAAGGUUGAUGAUGAAGAAAAAAGUGACUAAAAAACCAGACGAGAGGAUGCUGAUGAAA
rnacentral:lncRNA from 1 species